rnacentral:rRNA from 1 species
UACGGAGGAUGCAAGCGUUAUCCGGAAUCACUGGGUUUAAAGGGUGCGUAGGCGGCUUUAUAAGUCAGAGGUGAAAGCCCACAGCUCAACUGUGGAACUGCCUUUGAUACUGUAAAGCUUGAAUUAGGUUGAGGUUAGCGGAAUGUGGCAUGUAGCGGUGAAAUGCAUAGAUAUGCCAUAGAACACCAAUUGCGAAGGCAGCUAGCUAGACCUUGAUUGACGCUGAGGCACGAAAGCGUGGGGAGCGAACAGG